rnacentral:rRNA from 1 species
UACGUAGGGUGCAAGCGUUGUCCGGAAUUAUUGGGCGUAAAGAGCUCGUAGGCGGUCUGUCGCGUCGGCUGUGAAAACCCGGGGCUCAACCCCGGGCCUGCAGUCGAUACGGGCAGACUAGAGUGCGGUAGGGGAGACUGGAAUUCCUGGUGUAGCGGUGAAAUGCGCAGAUAUCAGGAGGAACACCAAUGGCGAAGGCAGAUCUCUGGGCCGUAACUGACGCUGAGGAGCGAAAGCAUGGGGGAGCGAACAGG